CCGUCGGUUUUUCGGUAGGCGAACGAUUGGUGCACAUUUUGACGGUUUCAUUUGUUUCAUUUCCUUUGUGGCAUAUCGCUCUACUCUUUGCUCUUUGCUUGGCAGUCCCAACUGUGUUGUAAUCGAGCAAUGGGAAGAGGGUGUGAGCAUGUGCAUUUUUUAUUUAUUUAUUGUUUAUACCUUACCCCGCCCUUUGCAUUCGUGGGUAGCGCCUGUACCUUCGGCCAGUUUGAGAGUGCUAAUCAAUAGCAUUGCAUCUAGAUUAGAUUAAAUUCACCCGCCGCUACCGCGGAUCAUGCCAUUAUCAUGCCAAGAAAACGACUACAACCAAACUCGAAGCAAAUGUAAGAAGAUUACUCGGGCUGGCUGGUGGUUUCUCGUAUCAGUUGCAGCGCUGUGCUAUGCAAGAUUAGAUAAUGUUAAUUACUGUUACAUAAUGGAGCUCUUUGGAGUUUUAUUCUUCUUCUUCUUUUUAGUGAUGGCGGCUAACACGGCCGGAAGCAAAAUGAUUUCUUUUUGAAGCGAACUCUUACAAGAAUACCCGACAGUUUGGUGGUACAGAAUGUUUAACAGAUGUUGGAAAUAUAAUUGUCUAACGUCACUGUGUUCAUUUCAUUGGCAGUAAUUGCAUCAGAAUAUGGUGCUGCCACUCUCCUCUCCUCUCCAAUUUUGCUCCAAUUUCAACUCCUCGAUGGUGGGACAAUUCCGCCCCAGCCACGGUUGGCACAAAUCAACCGUAACGGAGCGUUACAGUGCCACACGCUCGCCAACGUUCUAACGGCCGUACCAUCAUCGUGCUCUCCUGUUCUCUCUCGGCAAUAGAUUGAGUGUGCAAUAAUAACUACAAGAACAGCACAUAUAAAACCAAAAUCGCCCUCCGCAACAGCGCCAACGAUAACGAACCCCGUAGAGGAAGAAAAAACAAGACUAAUGCCACACACACAUACACAUGCACAGUGCCGAAACAACUCGCUCGCUCAAAGACAGUGUGUGCCCCAAAGUGCAGCACCAUCGAGCGAAACCAGAAUUGAACCAGGGACCGAACGGGCGGGAGAGCGUUAUACAGUGUGCGAGCAGCAGCAGCAGCAGCAGCAAGUGUGGAAGUGGGUCGCUAAUAAAUAUGACAGAGGAAAAAUUCAAGUUCACUGUCAAGGUCGUGCGCGGUACGCAGGCGCGCCCAGCCGCGCUCGGGAACAUCGCAUUGCAGGAGCGCGCGAAACGGGCGAAACGUAGCGGUGGGACGUAACCCCACCCCAAACGGGUAACAUAACGGGUGGAGCGCGGGAUGUACGCGGGGAAUUCGGGCAUGCAGGGAAGGAAAGGAGGAUGGAAUAUAUGGAUGAAACGCACACCACCACCACCACCACCACCGGUACAAGGGACACACACACAUCGACCAACAACAAUCACGUCGAACGGAGAGUACCACAGGCGGGUGCCAAAAAAGAAAUAAGAAACUUAAAUGCAAAAACAAAAAAAAGACCCCUGGUAUCUUGGAGCGGAAAUCGCUGGCAGCGGGCCGCGGUACGCAAAAACCGCAGGUUGCGUCAAACACAAUGAGAGAAGGAAAGAGAACGGACAAAGAGCGAAAGAGCGAAAGAGAGCGAGAAGGAGAGCGAUACAAUAUAACAAACAUCAGAGCCGCAGCAACGCGUGUGCCCGUCCUGUGGGAAUGGGAAGACAUCUUGGAAUCGAUCUACUCGAUCAUGACGCACCCCGUUUAUUUCGUGCCUGUGUGUGUCUAGCGGCUUGUGCAAUUCUCUGGCACGAUCACACAUGCGAACGGACCCCGGCACACUUCCAAUUAUGGGCAAAAUUCUAGGAACGCUCUAUAGACGUGCGAAUAACGCCCGAAUCCACCAUUUGCUGCCGUUCACAUUGAUUGCCGCCCAAGAUGGCACACCUACGCCUCCCCUUCGCUCCACCCCUUCUAGCUUAUCGCCAAUAAAAGGGUGAGUUAGAAACUAAUUAGGGCAGAUAUAUAUUUAUACUAUCGUAGCGAUGGGAGAUAAAAAGAUAUAAAAUGUCCCUCUACCUUCCCUUGCUAAUGACUCCAUCAGCGCACCAACACCCGAGUAGAAACUCCGCGGGGGUCCGUUGGUGUUCGUCCACCAAACGGCGAACCGCUAAUGUUUACAGAACAUCUGUAUGAUGGAUGCAGUUUUAUGGGCGCAUUUUUCCGCAUCCGUCCUCGACCCUGCUUUUGUCUGCUCCGCUGCUGCUACUCCUGCCGCUUCCCCUCGUGUUCUUCCCCGACGAUAGCCUCCGAUGCCGGAGUUAGCAUAGGUCAUGGGCAUGGAAAUCGGAACCAGCUGUCAAACUGUGGUACGGAAAUGCCACGCCGAACGCGCAUUGGCGGGCGGGACGCGUUUUGCACAGUCCGCAGGCCACAUCUUGAAUGCAACCGAACCCCCUUCCCCAGCCGAUGGGGGGAUGACAUCAUCGCGCGUGUCGGUUCACACGUUGCGUUGUUUUAUGGCUAAAUAUUGGCCCAACGGAAACGGUGAGGCAGGCGCACCCGGAACGAACUGGUGCUGAUGCAGGGUAGUUGCUAUUAGUCGCAUGCAUUGAGUUUGAUAUAGAAUAUUUAUGUAGAAGUAAAUUAAUUUAUACAGGUCAGUGGAACUGAACUAAAACACUAAAAAACAGAGCAUCUUUUU